rnacentral:rRNA from 1 species
UACGUAGGCAGCGAGCGUUGUUCGGAGUUACUGGGCGUAAAGGGUGUGUAGGCGGUUGUUUAAGUUUGGUGUGAAAUCUCCCGGCUCAACUGGGAGGGUGCGCCGAAUACUGAAUGACUUCGAGUGCGGGAGAGGAGAGCGGAAUUCCUGGUGUAGCGGUGAAAUGCGUAGAUAUCAGGAGGAACACCGGUGGUGUAGACGGCUCUCUGGACCGUAACUGACGCUGAGACACGAAAGCGUGGGUAGCAAACAGG